rnacentral:rRNA from 1 species
GAUGAACGCUGGCGGCGUGCCUAACACAUGCAAGUCGAACGGAGUCCAGCCUUUAAGACCUUCGGGUCAAAGAGGGGAAGACUGAGUGGCGGACGGGUGAGUAACACGUGGGCAACCUGGCUCAUAGAGGGGGAUAACAGAGAGAAAUUUCUGCUAAUACCGCAUAAGCACACACUGCCGCAUGGCAGAGGGUGAAAAGAGAAUCGCUAUGAGAUGGACCCGCGUCUGAUUAGCCAGUUGGCAGGGUAAGAGCCUACCAAAGCGACGACCAGUAGCCGAUCUGAGAGGAUGAACGGCCACAUUGGGACUGAGACACGGCCCAAACUCCUACGGGAGGCAGCAGUGGGGGAUAUUGCACAAUGGGGGGAACCCUGAUGCAGCGACGCCGCGUGAGUGAAGAAGUAUUUCGGUAUGUAAAGCUCUAUCAGCAGGGAAGAUAAUGACAGUACCUGAAUAAGAAGCCCCGGCUAACUACGUG